rnacentral:lncRNA from 1 species
GUUAUCCUCUGUUACUACCCGUCCAGCUGACCCUCUUCAAGCCCACCUUGCCUACUCCCUGGGAGGGUCCAUCCUGCUACAUGUCGACCCCGAGCAGAGCGAGAUGGCGUUUCUUCUGAAUCUACCCAUCAUUGAAUCCGACAACAUUUACAGACUCAAAGACAUUGUCAAUGUUGGAUUUUGGCAAGGAAACACUCACAUCAGAAUACACACACCAGAUAUGGUAGCCUACCACGACAAUAACCCACAGUUAUACCUGGCCCCAAACCUGCGUAUGUGUACCCUGACCAAAGACAUUCAUUAUCUCUGCCCCAGCAAGCCCUUCCUUCGAGACAACACUGAAGGAAUCUGCGGGUUACAACCCAUGCAAAGAGAGACACUCUGCCCCGCUGAGGCCAAGCCUCGCACACAAGUCACAGAAACGCAAGCAGAGAUUGUGGGAAAUCAGUGGCUCGUCAACACGCCCAUCCGUACCACCACACUGACCUAUGUCCAGCAUGACACUGCCACCCGUGUCAGCCUGCCCAACCAGAGUAUGUGGAUUCAAGUGCCCAAAGGUGCCAUCCUCCACCUCGGUGACCUGGCGCUGUACCACCUUCCAAGUGAAGAGUACCAAUCCGAGGUAGAAAUGCCAGCCUUCUUCAGGGACCACAACCUCACCCUGGAACCUGAAUUGGAACUGAGCAUUGAGAAAGGGGGCUCCAAGACGAUUGACAUCACCCCAAUCGACACAGCCCUCCAAGCACUGUCUCGGAUGCCUGUCCAGAACACCUUUCCCGUCGCUCGAUCCUGGACCUCUGCCGACACGGCACUUUGCCUUGCCACAGCAAUCGGGUACACCCUAACCCUCGGCCUUGCCUUUGUCCUGUUUAACAGAGUCAACGGGGUGCAAAGGUCCAUGAACAGGUGCACAGCUGCCCUUCCUCGAACCUUCAAACGGAGCCACCGGAAAAGAGGGACCCAGGCGGAGACAAUGCUGAACCUGACCAAGGUUAACACCCCCGCUGAGGAUCCGAAGGCUGAGGAAAAUUAGGAUCCACCUGCCAUCUGACAAUCCUGAUCCACCUGCCAUCUGACAAUCCUGAUCCACCUGCCAUCUGAAAAUUAGGAUCCACCUGCCAUCCGGCCUUCAGGAUCCACCUGCCAUCUAGCCAUUAUGAUCCACCUGCUACCCGAUCAUCAUGAUCCACCUGCUGUC